GGCGAACGCUGGCGGCGUGCUUAACACAUGCAAGUCGAACGGAAAGGCCCUGCUUGCUGGGUACUCGAGUGGCGAACGGGUGAGUAACACGGGGGUGAUCUGGCCUGCACUUCGGGAUAGGCGUGGAAAACUGGGUCUAAUACCGGAUAGGAGCCAUCUUUAGCGGGGGGGUGGGAAGGUUUUUUCGGUGUAGGAUGAGCUCGCGGCCUAUCAGCGUGUUGGUGGGGUAAUGGCCUACCAAGGCGGCGACGGGUAGCCGGCCUGAGAGGGUGUACGGCCACACCGGGACCGAGAGACAGGCCACAGUCCGACGUGAGGCAGCAGUGGGGCAUAUUGGACAAUGCGCGCAAGCGUGAGGCAGCGACGCCGCGUGGGUGAUGAAGGCCUUUGGGUUGUAAACUCCUUUCGCUAUGGAUGCAGCUUUUUUGUGACGGUACCUAGAUAAGAAGCACCGGCUAACUACGUG
rnacentral:rRNA from 1 species